rnacentral:rRNA from 1 species
AUUGAACGCUGGCGGCAGGCCUAACACAUGCAAGUCGAGCGAGAAAGGCCCUUCGGGGCUGAGUAGAGCGGCGGACGGGUGAGUAACGCGUAGGAAUCUACCCAGUGGUGGGGGACAACUUGGGGAAACUCAAGCUAAUACCGCAUACGCCCUACGGGGGAAAGCGGGGGACCUUCGGGCCUCGCGCCAUUGGAUGAGCCUGCGUUGGAUUAGCUAGUUGGUGGGGUAAAGGCCCACCAAGGCGACGAUCCAUAGCUGGUCUGAGAGGAUGAUCAGCCACACUGGGACUGAGACACGGCCCAGACUCCUACGGGAGGCAGCAGUGGGGAAUAUUGCGCAAUGGGGGCAACCCUGACGCAGCCAUGCCGCGUGUGUGAAGAAGGCCUUCGGGUUGUAAAGCACUUUCACUUGGGAAGAAAAGCUGACGGUUAAUACCCGUGAGCCGUGACAUUACCUUGAGAAGAAGCACCGGCUAACUCCGUGCCAGCAGCCGCGGUAAUACGGAGGGUGCGAGCGUUAAUCGGAAUUACUGGGCGUAAAGCGCGCGUAGGUGGUUUGUUAAGUCGGAUGUGAAAGCCCCGGGCUCAACCUGGGAACUGCACCCGAUACUGGCCGACUAGAGUGCGGGAGAGGGAGGUAGAAUUCCACGUGUAGCGGUGAAAUGCGU